UGGGGAAUAUUGCACAAUGGGCGCAAGCCUGAUGCAGCCAUGCCGCGUGUGUGAAGAAGGCCUUCGGGUUGUAAAGCACUUUCAGCGAGGAGGAAGGUGGUGAGCUUAAUACGCUCAUCAAUUGACGUUACUCGCAGAAGAAGCACCGGCUAACUCCGUGCCAGCAGCCGCGGUAAUACGGAGGGUGCAAGCGUUAAUCGGAAUUACUGGGCGUAAAGCGCACGCAGGCGGUUUGUUAAGUCAGAUGUGAAAUCCCCGGGCUCAACCUGGGAACUGCAUUUGAAACUGGCAAGCUAGAGUCUCGUAGAGGGGGGUAGAAUUCCAGGUGUAGCGGUGAAAUGCGUAGAGAUCUGGAGGAAUACCGGUGGCGAAGGCGGCCCCCCUGGACGAAGACUGACGCUCAGGUGCGAAAGCGUGGGGCAGCAAACAGGAUUAGAUACCCUGGUAGUCCACGCUGUAAACGAUGUCGAUUUUGGAGGUUGUGCCCUUGAGGCGUGGCUUCCGGAGCUAACGCGUUAAAUCGACCGCC
rnacentral:rRNA from 1 species